rnacentral:lncRNA from 1 species
AAAAGGAAAAAAAAAAGUAAGACAGGGGAGUAUCUUUUACUUUAACAAAUCACUUAAUACAACAUUUUUGUAGUUUGUGAAAAACACUUACGGAAGUUCCCAGCUUCAGUGUCGUUGAUCUUCAUCCUCUGGUAUAGAAUCGAAGAAUUCUCUUUGACCUGAACCAGUGUGUGAAUCAGUGAUUCAUAGAAGGAAAGCAAGAGUAACAAAAAUGACGAGACUCGGUAGAGCAACCUCACAAUCUCACUCUAUUAUCUCUCAGAAAUAGGCCUCAUUAAAAAACAUCAAGCUUUCAAUUCACUGCUGU